AAAACUGAGGUGGUAUACGAUGGUUCCGCGUCUGAUUAGCUAGUUGGUGGGGUAAUGGCCUACCAAGGCAACGAUCAGUAGCCGGCCUGAGAGGGUGAACGGCCACAUUGGGACUGAGACACGGCCCAAACUCCUACGGGAGGCAGCAGUGGGGAAUAUUGCACAAUGGGGGAAACCCUGAUGCAGCGACGCCGCGUGAGUGAAGAAGUAUUUCGGUAUGUAAAGCUCUAUCAGCAGGGAAGAAAAACCGACCAUAGGGUCGCUAGACGGUACCUGAUUAAGAAGCCCCGGCUAACUACGUGCCAGCAGCCGCGGUAAUACGUAGGGGGCAAGCGUUAUCCGGAUUUACUGGGUGUAAAGGGAGCGUAGACGGCAGCGCAAGUCUGAAGUGAAAUGCCGGGGCUUAACCCCGGAACUGCUUUGGAAACUGAGCAGCUAGAGUGCAGGAGAGGUAAGUGGAAUUCCUAGUGUAGCGGUGAAAUGCGUAGAUAUUAGGAGGAACACCAGUGGCGAAGGCGGCUUACUGGACUGUAACUGACGUUGAGGCUCGAAAGCGUGGGGAGCAAACAGGAUUAGAUACCCUGGUAGUCCACGCGGUAAACGAUGAUUACUAGGUGUUGGGGGACCAAGGUCCUUCG
rnacentral:rRNA from 1 species